GUGAGGAAUUUUGCGCAAUGGACGAAAGUCUGACGCAGCGACGCCGCGUGGGUGAUGAAGGCCUUCGGGUUGUAAAGCCCUGUCAGGGGGGACGAGUAGGGACGGUACCCCCAAAGGAAGCCUCGGCUAACUACGUGCCAGCAGCCGCGGUAAGACGUAGGGGGCAAGCGUUGUCCGGAAUUACUGGGCGUAAAGAGCUCGUAGGUGGGAUUGUAAGUCAAAGAGGAAAUGCUCCGGCUCAACUGGAGACUCAUCAUUGAUACUGCAAUUCUUGAGGACAGGAGAGGAAAGCGGAAUUCCCGGUGUAGCGGUGAAAUGCGUAGAGAUCGGGAGGAACACCAGUGGCGAAGGCGGCUUUCUGGCCUGAUUCUGACACUGAGGAGCGAAAGCCAGGGGAGCGAACGGGAUUAGAUACCCCAGUAGUCC
rnacentral:rRNA from 1 species